rnacentral:rRNA from 1 species
UACGAGGGGGGCGAGCGUUGUUCGGAAUUAUUGGGCGUAAAGGGUGCGUAGGCGGUUUGACAAGUCUGAUGUGAAAUCUAUGGGCUCAACCCAUAGUCUGCAUCGGAAACUGUCGGACUUGAGUAUGGGAGAGGUGAGUGGAAUUUCCGGUGGAGCGGUGAAAUGCGUAGAGAUCGGAAAGAACACCAACGGCGAAAGCACUCUGCUGGGCCGACACUGACACUGAGAGACGAAAGCUAGGGGAGCGAAUGGG